UGCCCCAUGGCUGAGUUGGUUACAGCGUCCGACUGUUAUGCCGCUCCCCAGCAGCGAUGACGCCAUCGGAAGGUCGUGAGUUCGAGCCUCACUGGGGCAG
rfam:Trametes versicolor FP-101664 SS1 unplaced genomic scaffold TRAVEscaffold_9, whole genome shotgun sequence.